GUGCUUCUUAUGUGUUUUAAAUAUUUGCGUUUUGUAUGCUAUAGUUAAGUUUUAUAGACUAUUGUACGUCAUUUGGUCGUUUUUAAGUUUUUGCCAUGGCGUUGUCAGUAUGUCUUCGACCUAUAAGUUUUAUAUAAUCUGCAUCUCUUGUGCUGUAUUUUAAAAUGUAUCUUUACACAUUCAUCAAUACACCAAAAAAUAUGAAUAAAGCUUUCGUAUAUAUAAAAAUAAGGAGAUGUGGUAUGAUUGGUAAUGAAAAAACUAUCCGGGAUAUUUUGAGACAAAGUGCACGUAUCAGCAGUCAGCCGAAACCACUAAGCGUUUUGCAUCCAUACGUUGUUUUUUUUUCGGGAUACUGACUGCAUAGUAAAUUAUCAAUGUACUAGUUAAUGUUCUCGAGGGAUGACCCUAUUACAGAGACAUAUAUACACAUAUGUGUAUAUAUGUCUCUGCCCUAUUACGUGUCAAUAACAUUCUCGACACGGUUCAUUUUUACGGCGGCUCAGUUUUGUCUUAAGAAUAAACAUAAUUGAUAAGUUUCUUUCCCCUGCAUUCCUCGAUCGCACUUGUAAAUAGCACAUUGGUCUCAAGACAUUGGUACACUAUACGUUACAACACUUGCCGUCAGUACUCAAAAUUGGAAAAAUAUUAAAUAAGAAGGUUGCCAGCAAGAUGAAAAGAACAAUGCAGUUCAAAAGUCAAAAUGUGGAUAAGCUGCGGUACAAGGUCCUACUUUUGCAGAUUUUCAUAUUUUGCAUGAAUGAAUUUGAAGUUUAUAUCAUGGAGGGCAGAGAAAGAAAAGAAACACUUCAAUUUUCCUGCUUCUGAAAGAUCUUGUUCGAAGGAUUGAAAUUCAUCACUUAGAAUAAAAAGAGAAAACACAGA